UAGACAAAACCAAGUAAGAUAACAUGUAUUUAGGAUAUAUAUGAUGAAUAACCCGGAUAAGUUGGUAGCCUUGCCUUUCGCGCGCUUUUCUGAAGUUUUCCUUCUGAUGUUAACACUGACCAGUCUACUGUUUUGCGUGAGGGUGUUUCCGUAGUCUCAGUUCAUAGAAGCUAAAACAUCCAUAUUCCAUGAUCGCUUUGUGUCUUGACUGAUACAUGAGUGACCAGCGACUGCGUGUGGCGAAUAAUUCAACUGGAAGGGCGUGUGUGUUAAAUUUAAAUGGAUUGUAGAGUGAUUUGUCGGUAGUGUUACUAGUAUUUUGGGCCAACGUGGCAUACAUCGCCAAUAUUUCUCUGACAACUACUCUACUACAACUGAGCCACUCUAUGGAUACGGUGCACUACUGAAGAAGGCGUGGUGUCUUGGAUAGAAGGAAUAACGCUGACUGUGGAGUGAAGGGUGAAGGUUAAGGUUACCAAUGCAACACCGCCCGCCUGCCAUUACCAAGCAGAGGCAGGGCCGGUUGCCUUGCACUCGUCUCUCGUCCCCCACGCACUUCGCUGUCCAUUAAACAGGAAAGGCAGCCACGGGAGUGUGACUUGUCGUCUCUGUGGCCUUUGCAAAGACUGCUAAUGAGGGGACGAAAGGAUUAAGAGUUUGAGCCACGGUCUUAUCACUACUGCCGCCACGUUGAUAAGAUGUGUUGACGCCUUUACCUGACUAUUUUCCGAGCCGUCAAGUCCGUCUCAGUUAAGGGCAGUUUCACAGUCUCUUCUUAAUAAGCUCCCGAGCCGAGACGCUCCCCAUGUUGGUAAGCGCCUUAACAAAUCUGAAGUGGUUUUGUUGUUUAGCCAGCAAACGAAAAAGGGUGACUGUGGCAUUACCUCUACUUGACUUAAACUCCGUGCCGCCAAGUCUGCCUCGGUAAU